rnacentral:misc_RNA from 1 species
GACGGAGGGGGCUAGCGUUGUUCGGAAUUACUGGGCGUAAAGCGCACGUAGGCGGCGCUGCAAGUCAGGCGUGAAAGGCCCGGGCUCAACCUGGGAACUGCGCUUGAGACUGCUGUGCUUGAGAACGGGAGAGGGCAGUGGAAUUCCCAGUGUAGAGGUGAAAUUCGUAGAUAUUGGGAAGAACACCGGUGGCGAAGGCGGCUGCCUGGCCCGUUUCUGACGCUGAGGUGCGAAAGCGUGGGGAGCAAACAGG